rnacentral:Y_RNA from 1 species
GGCUGGUCCAAUGGUAGUAGGUUAACAGAACUUAUUAGUAUCAGUGUCAUGACAGUUGGUAUACAAUACCCCACUGCUAAAUUUGACCGGUCUUUU